CUACGGGGGGCAGCAGUGGGGAAUAUUGGACAAUGGGCGAAAGCCUGAUCCAGCCAUGCCGCGUGUGUGAAGAAGGCCUUCGGGUGGUAAAGCACUUUCAGUGGGGAAGAAAGCCUUGGGGCUAAUACCCUCGAGGAAGGACAUCACCCACAGAAGAAGCACCGGCUAACUCCGUGCCAGCAGCCGCGGUAAUACGGAGGGUGCGAGCGUUAAUCGGAAUUACUGGGCGUAAAGCGCGCGUAGGCGGUCUGAUAAGCCGGUUGUGAAAGCCCCGGGCUCAACCUGGGAACGGCAUCCGGAACUGUCAGGCUAGAGUGCAGGAGAGGAAGGUAGAAUUCCCGGUGUAGCAGUGAAAUGCGUAGAGAUCGGGAGGAAUACCAGUGGCGAAGGCGGCCUUCUGGACUGACACUGACGCUGAGGUGCGAAAGCGUGGGUAGCAAACAGGAUUAGAUACCCGAGUAGUC
rnacentral:rRNA from 1 species